AAUGCUGACAUAAGUAACGAUAAAGCGGGUGAAAAGCCCGCUCGCCGGAAGACCAAGGGUUCCUGUCCAACGUUAAUCGGGGCAGGGUGAGUCGACCCCUAAGGCGAGGCCGAAAGGCGUAGUCGAUGGGAAACGGGUUAAUAUUCCCGUACUUGGUGUUACUGCGAAGGGGGGACGGAGAAGGCUAUGUUGGCCGGGCGACGGUUGUCCCGGUUUAAGCGUGUAGGCUGGUUUUCCAGGCAAAUCCGGAAAAUCAAGGCUGAGGCGUGACGACGAGGCACUACGGUGCUGAAGCAACAAAUGCCCUGCUUCCAGGAAAAGCCUCUAAGCAUCAGGUAACAUCAAAUCGUACCCCAAACCGACACAGGUGGUCAGGUAGAGAAUACCAAGGCGCUUGAGAGAACUCGGGUGAAGGAACUAGGCAAAAUGGUGCCGUAACUUCGGGAGAAGGCACGCUGACAUGUAGGUGAAGUGAUUUACUCAUGGAGCUGAAGUCAGUCGAAGAUACCAGCUGGCUGCAACUGUUUAUUAAAAACACAGCACUGUGCAAACACGAAAGUGGACGUAUACGGUGUGACGCCUGCCCGGUGCCGGAAGGUUAAUUGAUGGGGUCAGCGCAAGCGAAGCUCCUGAUCGAAGCCCCGGUAAACGGCGGCCGUAACUAUAACGGUCCUAAGGUAGCGAAAUUCCUUGUCGGGUAAGUUCCGACCUGCACGAAUGGCGUAAUGAUGGCCAGGCUGUCUCCACCCGAGACUCAGUGAAAUUGAACUCGCUGUGAAGAUGCAGUGUACCCGCGGCAAGACGGAAAGACCCCGUGAACCUUUACUAUAGCUUGACACUGAACAUUGAGCCUUGAUGUGUAGGAUAGGUGGGAGGCUUUGAAGUGUGGACGCCAGUCUGCAUGGAGCCGACCUUGAAAUACCACCCUUUAAUGUUUGAUGUUCUAACGUGGACCCGUAAUCCGGGUUGCGGACAGUGUCUGGUGGGUAGUUUGACUGGGGCGGUCUCCUCCUAAAGAGUAACGGAGGAGCACGAAGGUUGGCUAAUCCUGGUCGGACAUCAGGAGGUUAGUGCAAUGGCAUAAGCCAGCUUGACUGCGAGCGUGACGGCGCGAGCAGGUGCGAAAGCAGGUCAUAGUGAUCCGGUGGUUCUGAAUGGAAGGGCCAUCGCUCAACGGAUAAAAGGUACUCCGGGGAUAACAGGCUGAUACCGCCCAAGAGUUCAUAUCGACGGCGGUGUUUGGCACCUCGAUGUCGGCUCAUCACAUCCUGGGGCUGAAGUAGGUCCCAAGGGUAUGGCUGUUCGCCAUUUAAAGUGGUACGCGAGCUGGGUUUAGAACGUCGUGAGACAGUUCGGUCCCUAUCUGCCGUGGGCGCUGGAGAACUGAGGGGGGCUGCUCCUAGUACGAGAGGACCGGAGUGGACGCAUCACUGGUGUUCGGGUUGUCAUGCCAAUGGCACUGCCCGGUAGCUAAAUGCGGAAGAGAUAAGUGCUGAAAGCAUCUAAGCACGAAACUUGCCCCGA
rnacentral:rRNA from 1 species